GAGAGCACAGUACGAUGAAAGUUGUGAGUUGUGUUCGGGGGGGAGUUAUUGUCUAUCGUUGGCCUCUAUGGUAGAAUCAGUCGGGGAGGCCUGAGAGACGGUGGUUUACCCUAU
rnacentral:ncRNA from 1 species